rnacentral:rRNA from 1 species
GAACGUUUGACCUCGGAUCAGGUAGGAAUACCCGCUGAACUUAAGCAUAUCAAAAGCCGGAGGAA